AUAGGGUCUAGACCUGGCAUAUCUUCAUACGACCAUGCAAAAAUAUCCGGAUAUUCCCGGAGGAGCUGGAUGAUCUUCUGUUUAACCCCUUCCUCUAGAGUAGCACCGAUCUUGAUUUCUCGCUUGUUCUUCUCGGUACCUAUGUUGAUAAGCUCAAUCUCUUCCUGG
rnacentral:pre_miRNA from 1 species